AGAUGUGAGGGUGAUCUGGCUGAAAAAACCUGCCACCCCAAUGAUCGCCAGGGUUGAUUUAGCUGAUCUUCCUGGCUGGGGGGUGUCCCCUUUCCUCACUGCUCCAUAUGUGUCCCUCCUGAAGACGGGAAGAUGCACGUGCUGUCAAAAAUGUCACCCAACAGAGGAGGACUGGUCUUUGGUCAAGGGUAUACGAGUAGCUGUGCUCCCCAGCUGGAACCUUCAAACAGGCUCUCAAAAUCAAGGUUGCAGUCUUUGGCCAUUGAGAUGUGCUGAGGCCAAGCUGUUUGCAGUAAGAUAGUAAGAUUUUUG
rnacentral:snRNA from 1 species